CCUACGGGAGGCAGCAGUGAGGAAUAUUGGACAAUGGGCGCAAGCCUGAUCCAGCCAUGCCGCGUGCAGGAUGACGGUCCUAUGGAUUGUAAACUGCUUUUAUACAGGAAGAAACACCUCUACGUGUAGAGACUUGACGGUACUGUAAGAAUAAGGAUCGGCUAACUCCGUGCCAGCAGCCGCGGUAAUACGGAGGAUCCAAGCGUUAUCCGGAAUCAUUGGGUUUAAAGGGUCCGUAGGCGGUUUAGUAAGUCAGUGGUGAAAGCCCAUCGCUCAACGGUGGAACGGCCAUUGAUACUGCUAGACUUGAAUUAUUAGGAAGUAACUAGAAUAUGUAGUGUAGCGGUGAAAUGCUUAGAGAUUACAUGGAAUACCAAUUGCGAAGGCAGGUUACUACUAAUUGAUUGACGCUGAUGGACGAAAGCGUGGGUAGCGAACAGGAUUAGAUACCCUGGUAGUCCACGCCGUAAACGAUGGAUACUAGCUGUUGGGAGCAAUCUCAGUGGCUAAGCGAAAGUGAUAAGUAUCCCACUGGGGAGUACGUUCGCAAGAUGAAACUUAGAAAGUAGUGACGNGNGAGAGACGACGACGACGACGACGGAGGAGGAG
rnacentral:rRNA from 1 species